GAUGAACGCUGGCGGCGUGCCUAACACAUGCAAGUCGAGCGAACGGACGAGAAGCUUGCUUCUCUGAUGUUAGCGGCGGACGGGCGAGUAACACGUGGAUAACCUACCUAUAAGACUGGGAUAACUUCGGGAAACCGGAGCUAAUACCGGAUAAUAUUUUGAACCGCAUGGUUCAAAAGUGAAAGACGGUCUUGCUGUCACUUAUAGAUGGAUCCGCGCUGCAUUAGCUAGUUGGUAAGGUAACGGCUUACCAAGGCAACUAUGCAUAGCCGACCUGAGAGGGUGAUCGGCCACACUGGACAUGAGUCGCGGUCCAGACUCCUAGGGUAGGCAGCAGUAGGGUCUCUUCCGCAAGGGGCGAAAGCCUAACGUUGCAACGUCGCGUGAGUGAUAGAAGUCUUCGGAGCGUAAGUCUCUGUUAUUAGGGAACAACAUAUGUGUAAGUGACUGUGAACUUCUUGACGGUACCCAAUCAGGAAGCCACGGCUAACUACGUG
rnacentral:rRNA from 1 species